rnacentral:rRNA from 1 species
AACGAACGCUGGCGGCAGGCUUAACACAUGCAAGUCGAACGGGUGUAGCAAUACAUCAGUGGCAGACGGGUGAGUAACACGUGGGAACCUUCCUAGGGGUACGGAACAACUCAGGGAAACUUGAGCUAAUACCGUAUACGUCCGUAAGGAGAAAGAUUCAUCGCCCCUAGACGGGCCCGCGUCGGAUUAGGUAGUUGGUGGGGUAACGGCCUACCAAGCCUACGAUCCGUAGCUGAUCUGAGAGGAUGAUCAGCCACACUGGGACUGAGACACGGCCCACGACUCCUACGGGAGGCAGCAGUGGGGAAGUCUUGGACAAUGGGCGCAAGCCUGAUCCAGCCAUGCCGCGUGAGUGAAGAAGG